UCAGGAUGAGGCUGGACGUGUGCUGCUGCCUGUUAGCAGCUGCUGCUCUGGGCUCUAACGUCGCUGCAGAUUUCAUCCAUAAAAUCCCUGAAGAGAAGCAGCUCAUCGCUCUGCGCUGUCCUCACUCUGUGGAGGGUGAAGUGAGGUGGAGCAGAGAGAGUGGAGGAAGCAGAGCUGACAUACUUACAGCUGAUGGAGACGGAGACAAAACACAUCAGUGAUCCACAGAAACGAUACGAUUCACAGGCUGACGGGUCUCUGAUCAUCCUCAGAGCUUCUGUCUCAGACUCUGGGAGAUACUUCUGUAACCAUGAAGCAGCUGUGGAGCUGACAGUGAUCCAUCAGGAACUACAACCGUGAGCGCCACAGUAAGGAGCGGCGUCUCUCUGCAGACGUGUCCGAGUCUCCAACAUGGACGAGGCAGAUCGGUGCAGACACCACCACCGUCUUCGGUCACAGCGAGACGGAGGAGCGCGCUCAGCGUUCACCUGACGAGAACACGCUGACUUUAACAGACGUUCAGCUCGGCGACUCUGGACUGUACUCCUGUGCUGAGGGAGCAGCGGUUUAUCUGAAUGAGACCAAAGACCCGACUGACACGUCGCAGAAAGCAGAUGUAAAUGAAAGCGUGUUUUUUCAGCCUCUAAUAUCAGGGGCUCAUUUUGAGCAGCGGCUGGUUCUGGGUGCUGUCGCCCCCCUCAUCUUCAUCACGGUCAUCCUCCUCUUCAUCACGUGGAGAUGCAGAAGUAAAAGAAAAGAACGAAGUGAAAGUGUUUGUGCUGAGAGACACUGAAGGCUGAAGCUGCAUGUCUCUGUGUGAUGAGACACACUUUAAACUGCUGCAGGUCUGGGUGCAGCGCCCAGGAAACCAGUUUGAGAUGAUGGGACCUUUGAGGCAGGUGUCCUCACAGGGGACAAGUGACCUCAGUGUCAUUCAUUUUUUCUGUCAUCUUAUGUUAAAGGAAGGAAAUGUUACAGUGUGAACCUCUGUGAAGUUAUUUAUGUCCAUGUGUGUCAGGCAGAGCCUAAAGUUGAUCCUGUGGGCAGAGAUCCAUCAGGCAGAGGCAAUGAAAUUCCUGCUUUUCCAGUAUUUUUCUCACUUCCAUGGAAUUAAAAAGAAAAAGACAAAACUGUUGAGUGAACAAAAGCUUGUUUUUCCCUAAAGGUGGAUCUCAUCAGGGUGAUGUCACGUACUCGCUUCAUCCUCCAGCUCUGGGAAACAAACCUGGUAAAGCCUCAGAGAUAUUUGAGGAUAUAAUGAAAUAUUCACGUGUGUCUCCUGCAGCGCCGCGAGCCAACACGUGUGUUUACUCUGUGAUCAAACUGCACCGACAGGAAGCCUGAAGGAAAUCCUGAGGAUCAAACCUUCCACGCCUCCUCCUCCGAGCUUCUGCUCACGUUUCACUUUAACUUUCAAAAUUAUUUUGAUUCUUGGAAAUCAGUC